rnacentral:rRNA from 2 species
UAGACCUUUAUCCUUCGGGGUACGAGCGGACGACAGGUGGUGCAUGGUUGUCGUCAGCUCGUGUCGUGAGAUGUUGGGUUAAGUCCCGCAACGAGCGCAACCCUUGUCUUUAGUUGCCAUCAUUAAGUUGGGCACUCUAAAGAGACUGCCGAUGACAAAUCGGAGGAAGGUGGGGAUGACGUCAAAUCAUCAUGCCCUUUAUGUCCUGGGCUACACACGUGCUACAAUGGUCGGUACAACGAGAAGCAAGCCAGCGAUGGCAAGCAAAUCUCUAAAAGCCGAUCCCAGUUCGGAUUGCAGGCUGCAACUCGCCUGCAUGAAGUCGGAGUUGCUAGUAAUCGCGGAUCAGAAUGCCGCGGUGAAUGCGUUCCCGGGUCUU